GACGAACGCUGGCGGCGUGCUUAACACAUGCAAGUCGAACGGUGAAGCGCUUUCCUUUUUGGUUGGUGUGGAUGAGUGGCGAACGGGUGAGUAACACGUGAGUAACCUGCCCCCUUCUUCUGGAUAACCGCAUGAAAGUGUGGCUAAUACGGGAUAUUCUGCGCCUGCUGCAUGGUGGGUGUGGGAAAGAUUGUGCCUUUGGGUGUGUUCGGUGGGGGAUGGGCUCGCGGCCUAUCAGCUUGUUGGUGGGGUGAUGGCCUACCAAGGCGGUGACGGGUAGCCGGCCUGAGAGGGUGGACGGUCACACUGGGACUGAGACACGGCCCAGACUCCUACGGGAGGCAGCAGUGGGGAAUAUUGCACAAUGGGCGCAAGCCUGAUGCAGCGACGCCGCGUGAGGGAUGGAGGCCUUCGGGUUGUGAACCUCUUUCGCCAGUGAAGCAGGCCUGCUCCUUGUGGGUGGGUUGACGGUAGCUGGAUAAGAAGCGCCGGCUAACUACGUG
rnacentral:rRNA from 1 species